rnacentral:misc_RNA from 1 species
CGCCAAUUUUGUGCCGGCAGUAUCGAAUACUAGGUUCCAGCUCCUCAACACGCUCACGGCAUAAAAGCUGAUUCUCCAGAUCUCCAUAUUUCCCUAGUUCCUCAUNACAGCUCUGGCACUUAUGAAGUUCUUCAAUGCAGUGUCCCAGUUCCGAUCUUGUUCAAACAACAAAUUGCCAUUCAUAUAGGCAGCAUAUGCCUCAGCUUCCAAAGAUGUUCUGGAAUCUCCCUUGGCAGCACACAGCCGUGAGAACUGAUCAGCCCAUUUUACAGCUUUCCUCAGUCUCCCAAUCAGAUAUAUGCGUUGUCUUCCAUUUGGACCAUCUGGAAGCUGUCGUUUC